rnacentral:rRNA from 1 species
UACGUAGGCAGCAAGCGUUGUUCGGAGUACUGGCGUAAAGGGUGUGUAGGCGGUUGGAUAGUGUGUGUGAAUCUCCCGGCUCAACUGGGAGGGUGCGCUACAAACUGUCUGACUCGAGUGUGGGAUGGGUAAGUGGAAUUCCUGGUGUAGCGGUGAAAUGCGUAGAUAUCAGGAGGAACACCGGUGGUGUAGACGGCUUACUG